rnacentral:lncRNA from 1 species
AAGUCCACAAUCUUAACAUCAAUCCCGAUUUUAUGGAAAAUGUUAACUAUAUCAUUAUUUAAAAAAUCUCUAACAAAAAACUUUAUAAAAUGUGCAUCAUGUUUGAAAAAGAAAUACGUGCUCUUAUGCUGCCGUUGCCAACUUUCAAUAAUUUAAAGUUGGUCGGGGUCUAAAUUAUUUUUUUUAAAAAGAAAACGUUUUCAUUGAUUAAAUUUUUU